GAUGAACGCUGGCGGCGUGCCUAAUACAUGCAAGUCGAGCGAACAGACGAGGAGCUUGCUCCUCUGACGUUAGCGGCGGACGGGUGAGUAACACGUGGAUAACCUACCUAUAAGACUGGGAUAACUUCGGGAAACCGGAGCUAAUACCGGAUAAUUUAUUGAACCGCAUGGUUCAAUAGUUAAAGACGGUUUUGCUGUCACUUAUAGAUGGAUCCGCGCAGCAUUAGCUAGUUGGUAAGGUAACGGCUUACCAAGGCAACGAUGCGUAGCCGACCUGAGAGGGUGAUCGGCCACACUGGAACUGAGACACGGUCCAGACUCCUACGGGAGGCAGCAGUAGGGAAUCUUCCGCAAUGGGCGAAAGCCUGACGGAGCAACGCCGCGUGAGUGAUGAAGGUCUUCGGAUCGUAAAACUCUGUUAUUAGGGAAGAACAAAUGUGUAAGUAACUAUGCACGUCUUGACGGUACCUAAUCAGAAAGCCACGGCUAACUACGUG
rnacentral:rRNA from 1 species